rnacentral:rRNA from 1 species
UACAGAGGGGGCAAGCGUUGUUCGGAAUUACUGGGCGUAAAGGGCGCGUAGGCGGCCUGCUAAGUCGAACGUGAAAUCCCCGAGCUCAACUCGGGAACUGCGUCCGAUACUGGCAGGCUUGAAUCCGGGAGAGGGAUGCGGAAUUCCAGGUGUAGCGGUGAAAUGCGUAGAUAUCUGGAGGAACACCGGUGGCGAAGGCGGCAUCCUGGACCGAUACUGACGCUGAGGAGCGAAAGCCAGGGGAGCAAACGGG